GGGACUUUUGUAGCAAUACGGAGGUUCCUAGUGGCGAAUGGGUGAGUAACGCGUUGGUGACCUGCCCCGAAGCGUGGGAUAACAGAUCGAAAGGUCUGCUAAUACCGCAUGAGGUUACGGUAGUUAGAGAGCCGUAACGAAAGGCGAAAGCCGUUUUGGGAGGGGCCUGCGUCCCAUCAGCUAGUUGGUAGGGUAAAGGCCUACCAAGGCGACGACGGGUAGGGGACCUGAGAGGGUGACCCCCCACACUGGCACUGAAACACGGGCCAGACACCUACGGGUGGCAGCAGUAGGGAAUAUUGCACAAUGGGCGAAAGCCUGAUGCAGCAACGCCGCGUGCACGAUGAAGGCCUUCGGGUCGUAAAGUGCUUUUCGGGGAGAAGAGGAAGGACGGUAUCCCCGGAAUAAGGAUCGGCUAACUACGUGCCAGCAGCCGCGGUAAAACGUAGGAUCCGAGCGUUAUCCGAAUUCACUGGGCGUAAAGCGCGUGCAGGCGGUUCAGUAAGUUGGAUGUAAAAGCUCCUGGCUCAACUGGGAGAGGACGUUCAAUACUGUUGGACUAGAGGGCGGCAGAGGGAGGUGGAAUUCCCGGUGUAGUGGUGAAAUGCGUAGAUAUCGGGAGGAACAUCAGUGGCGAAGGCGGCCUUCUGGUCCAAUACUGACGCUCAGGUGCGAAAGCGU
rnacentral:rRNA from 1 species